rnacentral:rRNA from 1 species
CCUACGGGUGGCAGCAGUGAGGAAUAUUCGACAAUGGGCGCGAGCCUGAACCAGCCAAGUAGCGUGAAUGAUGAAUGCCCUACGGGUUGUAAACUCUUUUUAUAAAGGAAUAAAUUGAGGCACGUGUGCCUUUUUGUAUUUACUUUAUGAAUAAGGAUCGGCUAACCUCGGUCCAUCAGCGCCGGUAAUACGUAGGAUUCGAGCCUUAUCCGGAUUUAUUGGGUUUAAAGUGAGCGUAGGUGGGUGGUUAAGUCAGUUGUGAAAGUUUGCGGCUCAACCGUAGAAUUGCAUUUGAUACUGGGAGCCUUGAGUGCAGUUGAGGUAGGCGGAAUUCGAGGUGUAGCGGUGGAAUGCUUAGAUAUCACGAAGAACUCCGAUGGCGAAGGCAGCCUACUAAUCUGCCACUGACGUUGAGGCUCGAAAGUGUGGGUAUCAAACAGGAUUAGAUACCCUGGUAGUC